GAUGAACGCUAGCUACAGGCUUAACACAUGCAAGUCGAGGGGCAGCACGGAGAUAGCUUGCUAUCUUGGGUGGCGACCGGCGCACGGGUGAGUAACGCGUAUCCAACCUGCCCAUUACUCUGGGAUAGCCUUGCGAAAGUAAGAUUAAUACCGGAUGUUGUUAAAAACCCGCAUGAGUUUUUAACCAAAGAUUUAUUGGUAAUGGAUGGGGAUGCGUGACAUUAGGUAGUUGGUGAGGUAACGGCUCAGCAAGCCUACGAUGGCUAGGGGUUGGGAGAGGAAGGUCCCCCGCACUGGAACUGAGACACGGUCCAGACUCCGACGGGAGGCAGCAGUGAGGAAUGUUGGGCAAUGGACGAGAGUCUGAACCAGCCAAGUAGCGUGCAGGACGACGGCCCUCUGGGUUGUAAACUGCUUUUAGUUGAGAAUAAAAAGAGGGACGUGUCCCUAAUUGUAUGUACCAUCAGAAAAAGGACCGGCUAAUUCCGUGCCAGCCGCCGCAGUAAUAC
rnacentral:rRNA from 1 species